UCACACCACUGCACUCCAGCCUGGGUGAUACAGCGAGACUCCAUCUCAAAAAAAAAAGAAAAGUCUGACAGGUAGCUUAGACUCUUAGUAGUCUGUAUCCUUAACAAGAAGUCCAAAGGUUAUCUCAGGGCUAUUCUGGCAGCUCAAUAAUGUCGUUAAGAACUCAGACUCGGCAGUUCCCGUCAUCUUCGGGAGCUGUAGAGGUAUGAAUUUAAGACAGGCCUAUUUUAUUAAUUUAUUUCCAAAUGCAGCGAAAGGUCCAACGACCAUCUGUGGGCCACUUAAUUCAGGGCCCCCAAUUUGUACAGGAAAAACUCUCAGAUACAGCCAACGCCAUGGGUUUUGCAGACCUGAAAAGCCCCACUGGCCUCCAGGUGCUCAAUGAUUACCUGGAAGACAAGAGCUACAUCAAGGGGUAUGUGCCAUCACAAACAGAUGUGGCAGUAUUUGAAGCAGUGCCUGGCCCACUGCCUGCCGACUUGUGUCAUGCCCUACAUUGGUAUAAUCACAUCAAGUCUUACGAAAAGGAAAAGGCCAGCCUGCCAGGAGUGAAGAAAGCUUUGGGCAAGUAUGGUCCUGCAGAUGUGGAAGACACUACAGGAAGUGGAGCUACACAGAUAGUAAAGAUGAUGAUGACAUUGAGCUCUCUGGAUCUGAUGAGGAGGAGGAAAGUGAAGAAGCAAAGAGGCUAAGGGAAGAACAUCUUGCACAAUAUGAAUCAAAGAAAGCCAAAAAAACCUGCACUUGUUUCCAAGUCUACCAUCUUACUAGAUGUGAAACCUUGGGAUGAUGAGGCAGAUAUGGAGAAAUUAGAGGGCGUCAGAAGCAUUCAAGCAGACGGCUUAGUCCGGGGCUCAUCUAAACUAGUUCCAGUGGGAUACAGAAUUAAGAAACUUCAAAUACAGUGUGUAGUUGAAGAUGAUAAAGUUGGAACAGAUAUGCUGGAGGAGCAGAUCACUGCAUUUGAGGACUAUGUGCAGUCCAUGGAUGUGGCUGCUUUCAACAAGAUCUAAAAUCCAUCCUGGAUCAUGACAUUU